CGCGUAGGCGGCUCGAUAAGUUGGCUGUGAAAGGUCCUGGCUCAACUGGGAUAAGUCAGCCGAGACUGUCGGGCUUGAGGGCGGUAGAGGAAGGUGGAAUUCCGGGUGUAGUGGUGAAAUGCGUAGAUAUCCGGAGGAACACCGGUGGCGAAGGCGGCCUUCUGGGCCGUACCUGACGCUGAGGCGCGAAAGCGUGGGGAGCGAACUGAAUUAGAUACUCAGGUAGUCCACGCCCUAAACGAUGGACGCUAGGUGUAGGGGGUAUCGACCCCUCCUGUGCCGAAGCUAACGCAUUAAGCGUCCCGCCUGGGGAGUACGGCCGCAAGGCUAAA
rnacentral:rRNA from 1 species